GGUGCUGGAAAUAUAUAUUAUACAGCCAUUUCUACGGCACGGCAUCUCCAUAUCAAUACCAGUCAAAACAUUAUUUACACGUGAAAAUGUUAGUUUGUGUUUUCACAAUUAGAUAAGAAUCAUAAAGGUUGCUUUUUUUUUUUUUUGGGAUCAAAUUUUGUAGUUUACCACUAUCCAAGCUAAGUGAACCUGUUUGGUCACUUUCAAUGUUAUGUUUUCGUCCUAUGCGGUUUCAUUAGUUCUUAACCAUCUAAUUAUUAUGCAAAUUAAGUCAUGAUCAUUUUCCAAGUGGG
rnacentral:lncRNA from 1 species